rnacentral:lncRNA from 1 species
AUUGUAACGGACUCGGAAAUUUAAAUGAAAUAUAUGUAUUACAAAUAUCAAAUGCGGAAGCGUAAUAAAAAUUUUGAUUAACAUCCCUUACACAAUAAUCAAAACGUACUCAAAAUAUGAAAGAACAAACUAACAAAAAGAGAUACUCAAGAUAAGAACUAUAAAUAUAACUAUGGAGUCUUUAGGCGUCCCCUUCGCCGUCUUCCUGUGGAACGGGCUCGGGAACAAUGUCUUC